ACGGCUCAAUGGUAGAGCACCUGCUUGGCGUGCAGGAGGUCCCAGGCUCAGUCUCAGGCAUCUCUA
rnacentral:tRNA from 1 species